rnacentral:snRNA from 1 species
AUCCCAGUGCAUGGGCAUUUAGCGCGUCAGUGAAGAUUUUGUCUGAGACCGCUAUUUUGCUAGUUGAAAACUACCAACAUGACUGCUCCAGUUGGCCUUCGGGUCGGCUGGGAAUCUUUGGAACACACAAGGUUGA